rnacentral:lncRNA from 1 species
UUUUCCUUGGUCAAGAGUGCAACAUGAGCUGUGGAUGUGAACUUUACUGUCAGAUGAACAUUGAAAAUGACAAGAUUUCUGCGCAAAGAUUUUUCUUGGUCAAGAGUGCAACAUGAGCUGUGGAUAUGAACUUUACUGUCAGUGAACAUUGGAAAGUGACAAGAUUUCUUCACAGAGAAUGAAUGAAGUUGAAGAAAGUUGAAAGGCACCCCUGAAGAACCUGAAUUAUUUUAGCCCUAUCCUAGAUUCAUUAAUUAAUAUAUUUUAGUGUGUGAUAACAUGUGUGAAAUGUGAUCAAUUAUGUGACAAUUUUCAAAACU